rfam:Sus scrofa isolate TJ Tabasco breed Duroc chromosome 4, whole genome shotgun sequence.
UCCCAGGCUGUUCUCACAGCCACAGCAAUGUGAGAUCCCAGUUGAUU